CCUACGGGAGGCAGCAGUGAGGAAUAUUGGUCAAUGGACGCAAGUCUGAACCAGCCAUGCCGCGUGCAGGAAGACGGCCCUAUGAGUUGUAAACUGCUUUUGUACGAGGGUAAAGGCAGAUACGCGUGGCUGUCUGAAAGUAUCGUACGAAUAAGGAUCGGCUAACUCCGUGUCAGCAGCCGCGGUAAUACGGAGGAUUCAAGCGUUAUCCGGAUUUAUUGGGUUUAAAGGGUGCGUAGAUGGUUUGUUAAGUUAGAGGUGAAAGCCCGAGGCUCAACUGUGAAAUUGCCUUUGAUACUGGUCGGCUUGAGUGUAGUUGCGGUAGGCGGAAUGUAUGGUGUAGCGGUGAAAUGCUUAGAGAUCACGCAGAACACCGAUUGCGAAGGCAGCUUACCAAGCUACUUCUGACAUUGAGGCACGAAAGCGUGGGGAGCAAACAGGAUUAGAUACCCGUGUAGUC
rnacentral:rRNA from 1 species